rnacentral:ncRNA from 2 species
CGCAACGACACGGGGUGCCGGGCCUGAAAAGGCCGGCUGAGAUCAACACCCGUCGAACCUGAAACAGUUAGCACUGGCGAAGGGAUGUCGGCCUUAAGGCCC